rnacentral:rRNA from 1 species
CAAUAGCGUAUAUUAAAGUUGUUGCAGUUAAAAAGCUCGUAGUUGGAUUUCGGGGCAGCCUGGCUGGUCCGCCGCAAGGCGAGUACUGGUCAGUCGCCCUUCCUCUCGAAAGCCCCGACUGCUCUUUAUUGCAGUGGUCGGGUAGUUCGGGACGUUUACUUUGAAAAAAUUAGAGUGUUCAAGGCAGGCCUACGCCUGAAUACAUUAGCAUGGAAUAAUGGAAGAGGACCUCGGUCCUAUUUUGUUGGUUUCCAGGACCGAAGUAAUGAUUAAGAGGGACAGUUGGGGGCAUUCGUAUUUAAUUGUCAGAGGUGAAAUUCUCGGAUUUAUGAAAGACGAACAACUGCGAAAGCAUUUGCCAAGGAUGUUUUCAUUAA